GCCGUAGGUGGCGAACGUUAUCCGGAAUUAUUGGGCGUAAAGGAUGCGUAGAUGGUGUAGUAAGUUAUCGGUGGUAAAUCGAGGCUCAACCUCGUGGAAGUCGGUAAUACUGCUAUGCUAGAGGAUAGAAGAGGUUAACGGAACUCCCUGUGGAGCGGUGAAAUGCGUAGAUAUAGGGAAGAACACCAAUCAGGCGAAGGCAGUUAACUAUUCUACUCCUGACAUUGAGGCAUGAAAGCGUGGGGAGCAAAACGG
rnacentral:rRNA from 1 species